UACGGAGGGUGCGCGCGUUAAUCGGAAUUACUGGGCGUAAAGCGUACGUAGGCGGUUGGGUAAGUCGGAUGUGAAAGCCAUGGGCUUAACCUGGGAACUGCAUUCGAUACUGCUCGGCUAGAGUAUGGGAGAGGGAAGCGGAAUUUCCGGUGUAGCGGUUAAAUGCGUAGAUAUCGGAAGGAACACCAAUGGCGAAGGCAGCUUCCUGGCCCAAUACUGACGCUCAGGUGCGAAAGCGUGGGGAUCAAACAGG
rnacentral:rRNA from 1 species